GACAGAGGUGGCCAAGCGUUAGGCGGAAUCACUGGGCUUAAAGCGUGAGUGUAGGCGGAAUUGUAAGUACCUUGUGAAAUCCCAACGGCUCAACCGUGGGAACUGCUCGGUAUACUGCUUUUCUUGAUGCCACUUAGGGGCGUGUCGGGAACAAACGGUGGAGCGGUGAAAUGCGUAGAUAUCGUUUGGAACGCCAACGGUGAAAACAGACAGCUGGGAGUGUGCUGACGCUGAGACACGAAAGCCAGGGGAGGCGAAACGGG
rnacentral:rRNA from 1 species